rnacentral:lncRNA from 1 species
GUUGCAACAGCCUAAAGAAGUUUAAUUUCAAGAAAACAGGCUGAAAGAAUGAGAGUUGUGACCAACUCAGUAUACCACUGGAGGCUAUAUGAGCAAACAGAAAACUGUUCUUAUGAAAGCAGGAUGUUGGAAAACUGAUAACUGUGUCUGCCGCCAGAAGGGGUGCUGAGGGCAGUCAGGCCUCAUGCACAGUGUUCCUUGUGAUUAUCUAUAGGAACAUCUGAAGCCUGUUGUACAAAGAAAGCAAUUAUGUGGACCUGUGAUAAAUCAAGCAGUGGACCAACCAUUAGCUCUCCCUCCCUGCUCUUUCUACCUAACAAAUAUGAAAGACUGUAGAAACUCAGGGCUGCCUUUGCUCUCUAGAAGCAAGGAGCCCCUGACCCCCUCUUUCAAAAUAGGUCUUUUCGUCUUUGUCUUUACUUCUGCAUUCGACCCCCUUCAUUGACCCUGUAGAAACUGUCAGUGACAUUCUCUUUUCCCUUGUAUUUUCUAAAUUUUCUAUAAUUUGCAUGUUAUUUUAAUAAUUAGUGAGGGCAUCAAAGAAGUGGAUUUACAAUGGUGCAAACAUUGGCAGUUUCAGUUAGGAACUCAUAUUCCUGUUGGGUCAGAGAUUGAGCCCUGGAGGAAACCUCUGGUCUGAGGGCUACAGGGAAGCUCCUGUUUCAUGCCUAUUCCUGAAAUUAGGCCUGUCCCUCUGAUUUAGGGAAGAUUUAUUCCUCUGUUUGUCUGCAUACUA